ensembl:lncRNA novel transcript, antisense to ASF1B
GGAGAAGCCAGGUCACCCCGACUCGGAAGGGCUAGCUGGGCUUAACUACAAGCCGAUCUGCUGCUUCGACUUGAAUAGCCUCCACCUUCUCCAGCUGCUGUCUGCCCCCAUGUUCCCAGAUCAACCACAGUUCCAGGGAGGGAGAGUCAGAGCCUUUCUGUGAACUAUGGGGAAAUGGCUGACCACUCCGCCUCUGGAUGGAUAGAUACAUGGACAGCUGGUUUAAGUUUUGACAAAGAAAAACCCCUCCUGGAACCUCAGUCUGGAAUACAACUGUAGAACCAAUUAAGACUGGAGUAGGAAGCUGGAAAGAAGACGUGGGACAGCCAACCCACUGGACAGGGCAAGAGGCCACUUCUGGGGGAGAGUGGACAAAGUUGCUUCAGUCCACCAGAGACAAAAGCACAAACAAUCAUUCUAAAUGAAGUGCUUUUAAUUUUCAGACCAAACAUUUUUAAUAUAAAAACAUUUUGAUAAUAUACAAA